CUUCUACCCGAACCCCCCCUCCCCCCCCAAGCAGAGAGACCCCAGCAGCAGCAGCAGCUGAUGAUGAAGAGAGAGGCAGUGGCAGAGGGGGGGCACCUUUUAUUUCUAUUUUUAAAGGGACAGGACACUAAUUUUACCCCACUUCAACCUUGAAUUGAGGGGGGUGGGGGGAAGGCGGCUGAGUUCCUUCCCCCACCCUCCAGCCCGGAGCCCUGAGAGGGGGAUUGAGCCUGAGAGAGAAGGAGAAGGAGUUUCUUCCUCUUCGAAAACCUCCAUCCACGACUCCUACCCCCUCACCCCUCCACUCGCUUCCCUCCCGAGCCCCCUCCACCCUCCUUCUCUUUGGCCGUGAGAGGAGGAGAGAAAGAGACCAAAAGCCUCUUAGCAACACAGACCCUUUGCUGUUGCUGCUGCUGCUGCUGUGGCUGCUGCUGUUGCUACUGCUGCUACUGCUGCUUGGCCCUGGCUGGAGACAUCUCACUACACCCAGGAGCAGCCACUUCCCCAGCUCUCCUCCUCCUCCUUCGCCUCCUCCUCCUUCACUCCCCCCCUUUAUUACCCUUUGUGUCAUCCUCCACAGCUCCAGGGAAGGCACUCAAAAGUGGGGGGCAGGAAAGAUGAUCCUUGGAGAUGUCAUUUUGUGCAUAUAUGAAAUAGAUCUUGAAGGGUUUAUGGUUUACAGACAAAAUCUUUAGAAGUUAGACACUCAAGGACCAAGAAAAUAAAUUCCAGAAACCAGGAGCA
rnacentral:lncRNA from 1 species